AUGAAUGGUGAGAGGAAAGUGCAUUGGAUUGCCUGGGAUAAGAUGUGCCAAUCAAAACGGACGGGCGGCAUGGGGUUUCGUGACCCGGAAGCUUUCAACCAAGCCCUUCUUGCCAAACAGGCCUGGAGGAUCUUGCAGACGCCGAUGUCCUUAUGUGCGAGAGUUCUUCGAGCAAGGUAUUUCAGCAACACGUCAAUCAUGAGUGCUACAUGCCCUUCUGGCGGUUCGUACACGUUCAGGAGUAUUUUGCAUGGGAGAGACUUGCUCCGUGAGGGGGUGGUAUGGCGCACUGGAGAUGGAUCGAAGGUGAACAUUCACCAUGACCCCUGA
rnacentral:rRNA from 1 species